rnacentral:rRNA from 1 species
GAUGAACGCUAGCGGGAGGCCUAACACAUGCAAGCCGAGCGGUAGAGUUUCUUCGGAAACUUGAGAGCGGCGCACGGGUGCGUAACACGUGUGCAACCUACCUUUAUCUGGGGGAUAGCCUUUCGAAAGGAAGAUUAAUACCCCAUAAUAUAAUGAUUGGCAUCAAUUAUUAUUGAAAACUCCGGUGGAUAGAGAUGGGCACGCGCAAGAUUAGAUAGUUGGUGAGGUAACGGCUCACCAAGUCAAUGAUCUUUAGGGGUCCUGAGAGGGAGAUCCCCCAGACUGGUACUGAGACACGGACCAGACUCCUACGGGAGGCAGCAGUGAGGAAUAUUGGACAAUGGGUGAUAGCCUGAUCCAGCCAUCCCGCGUGAAGGAUGACGGUCCUAUGGAUUGUAAACUUCUUUUGUACAGGGAUAAACCUACCCUCGGGAGGGUAGCUGAAGGUACUGUACGAAUAAGCACCGGCUAACUCCGUG